UACGUAGGGGGCUAGCGUUGUCCGGAAUCAUUGGGCGUAAAGCGCGUGUAGGCGGUCCGGUAAGUCCGCUGUGAAAGUCGGGGGCUCAACCCUCGAAUGCCGGUGGAUACUGUCGGGCUAGAGUGCGGAAGAGGCGAGUGGAAUUCCUGGUGUAGCGGUGAAAUGCGCAGAUAUCGGGAGGAACACCAAUGGCGAAGGCAGCUCGCUGGGACGGUACUGACGCUGAGACGCGAAAGCGUGGGGAGCAAACAGG
rnacentral:rRNA from 1 species